rnacentral:misc_RNA from 1 species
UCAAACUUGGUCAUUUAGAGGAAGUAAAAGUCGUAACAAGGUUUCCAUAGGUGAACCUGUGGAAGGAUCAUUACUGAAGUUGAUUGGAGAUGUUGCUGGCUUUUUUUUUUAAUAAGAAAAAGCAAUGUGCACUCUUCCAACUCUCACAAAUUUCCUUCUCACCCUUUGUGCACUCUCGGUAGAGGCCUCCUUGAGGGAGACUUCUAUGUUUUGUUUUUGCUACAAUUUCACACAUGGGAUUUGAAUGUACAUGCUUAUAAUAUAUAAAAAAAAAGAAACAACUUUCAACAAUGGAUCUCUUGGCUCUCGCAUCGAUGAAGAACGCAGC